CAGCAGAUGUGGCUAGAGCUUACGGUGGAGACGCUGGCGGUGAUCCUCCACCGGAUCUUACUAGGAUCCCGACUACAUGCGAGUCAGGAAUCCCAACUAAGAAAAAGGGUCGUGGCGCAGCUAUUGGAAAAGAUCUAGAGGAGAGGCGGCGUAAAAAUGGAAAACCAUUAGAAGUAGCGUUUUGCCCACGAACGUACAAGGUUGUUGGGGGCGAGCACGCUGCUUUUGUCCGCCUUGUGGGAACCCAAAUUAAAACGAAAGUUCCCGAACAUUACGGUUCAUGGGAAUUAGUGCCUAAACAAUACAAGGAUCAGGUCCUUGGCAUAAUUCAGUACUAUUAUCAAAUAGCGGGCCGCGAGGAUUUCUUAAAGUGUUUAGAUGGUAUCGAUCGAGAGAUAAAAGAUCG